CCCUUAGAUGCUCUGGGCCGCACGCGCGCUACACUGGUCGAUGCAACGAGUUUCUUUCCUUGGCCGACAGGCCUGGGCAAUCUUUGAACAUCGAUCGUGAUCGGGAUAGAUUCUUGUAAUUUUUGAUCUUAAACGAGGAAUUCCUAGUAAACGCAAGUCAUCAGCUUGCAUUGAUUACGUCCCUGCCCUUUGUACACACCGCCCGUCGCACCUACCGAUUGAAUGGUCCGGUGAAAUCCUCGGAUCGAGCCGUGGGGCAACUCCGGUUCGAGAAGUUGAUUAAACCUUACCAUUUAGAGGAAGGUGAANUCGUAACA
rnacentral:rRNA from 1 species